ACGAACGCUGGCGGCGUGCUUAACACAUGCAAGUCGAACGGUGAUGGCCAGCUUGCUGGUCUGAUCAGUGGCGAACGGGUGAGUAACACGUGAGCAACCUGCCCUUCACUCUGGAAUAACCACCGGAAACGGUGGCUAAUACCGGAUAUGAGACGUACACGCAUGUGUCGCGUCUGGAAAGAUUUAUCGGUGAAGGAUGGGCUCGCGGCCUAUCAGCUUGUUGGUGGGGUAGUGGCCCACCAAGGCGACGACGGGUAGCCG
rnacentral:rRNA from 1 species